GACGAACGCUGGCGGCGUGCCUAAUACAUGCAAGUUGAGCGAUGAAGAUUGGUGCUUGCACCAAUUUGAAGAGCAGCGAACGGGUGAGUAACGCGUGGGGAAUCUGCCUUUGAGCGGGGGACAACAUUUGGAAACGAAUGCUAAUACCGCAUAACAACUUUAAACAUAAGUUUUAAGUUUGAAAGAUGCAAUUGCAUCACUCAAAGAUGAUCCCGCGUUGUAUUAGCUAGUUGGUGAGGUAAAGGCUCACCAAGGCGAUGAUACAUAGCCGACCUGAGAGGGUGAUCGGCCACAUUGGGACUGGGACCCGGCCCAAGCCCCUUCGGGAGGCAGCAGUAGGGAAUCUUCGGCAAUGGACGAAAGUCUGACCGAGCAACGCCGCGUGAGUGAAGAAGGUUUUCGGAUCGUAAAACUCUGUUGGUAGAGAAGAAAGUUGGUGAGGGUGGAAAGCUCAUCAAGUGACGGUAACUACCCAGAAAGGGACGGCUAACUACGUG
rnacentral:rRNA from 1 species